GCCCGGGUGGCGGAAUUGGUAGACGCAAGGGACUUAAAAUCCCUUGGGCAUCCUUGCCCGUGCGGGUUCGAGUCCCGCCCCGGGUA
rnacentral:tRNA from 1 species